rnacentral:rRNA from 1 species
AACGAACGCCGGCGGCAGGCUUAACACAUGCAAGUCGAACGCAUCCUUCGGGGUGAGUGGCAGACGGGUGAGUAACGCGUGGGAACGUGCCCUUCAGUUCGGAAUAACCCAGGGAAACUUGGGCUAAUACCGGAUACGUGCGAGAGCAGAAAGAUUUAUCGCUGAAGGAUCGGCCCGCGUCUGAUUAGCUAGUUGGUGGGGUAAUGGCCCACCAAGGCGACGAUCAGUAGCUGGUCUGAGAGGAUGAUCAGCCACAUUGGGACUGAGACACGGCCCAAACUCCUACGGGAGGCAGCAGUGGGGAAUAUUGGACAAUGGGCGCAAGCCUGAUCCAGCCAUGCUGCGUGAGUGAUGACGGCCUUAGGGUUGUAAAGCUCUUUCGUCCGGGACGAUAAUGACGGUACCGGAAGAAGAAGCCCCGGCUAACUUCGUGCCAGCCGCCGCCGUAA